rnacentral:misc_RNA from 1 species
GAUGGAGUUGCUGUUUUGGGAGGGUAAUGGUGGUGGUGCUAAUGGUGAUGAGGGUGGAGAUGGUGGUGGUGAUCCUGGAAUUAUGCACCCAGUUGGUGGUAGAGGUGGUAGGGGAUGGAAUGGCUCUCGUGGAGGUGGUAAAGGUGGAGUCUUCACAUACGUUGGAGGUGGAGGUGGAGGUGGAGAUGGAGUUGCUGUUUUGGGAGGGUAAUG